UUGUCUUCAGCUGGCUAAAGAGAAAGCCUCUCCACCCUCAAGGAUACCUGAAAGGAACUGGGACAAAAGACAGUAACUAUAAGGGGUGUGAGUGAUUGCUGGCUAAAAGGAGACUAAUCUGUAAAAGGAAGCUUACUGGUCAGUCUGGGUUUUGCAAACCCCAUCACACAGUACCUGUUUGGGCAGAGCUGCAGAACAUACUUGUGACUUUGCUGCUUACACACAGCAUGAUGAGAGACCUAAGCAUGGUGAGUUUCACCCGGGGCGAAGGGGCAAGAUGGGACAAGUGGUGGGGUGGUUUCCAAAG